GUUGGGAAUUUUGGGCAAUGGGCGCAAGCCUGACCCAGCGACACCGCGUGGGGGACGAAGGCCUUCGGGUCGUAAACCCCUGUCAGGAGGGACGAAGCCGUAAGGUGACGGUACCUCCAGAGGAAGCCCCGGCUAACUACGUGCCAGCAGCCGCGGUAAGACGUAGGGGGCUAGCGUUGUCCGGAAUUACUGGGCGUAAAGCGCGUGCAGGCGGUCUGCUAAGUCCCGUGUGAAAGCCUCCGGCUCAACCGGAGGACGUCGCGGGAUACUGGCGGGCUUGAGGGCGGUAGAGGGUGAUGGAAUUCCCGGUGUAGCGGUGAAAUGCGUAGAUAUCGGGAGGAACGCCAGUGGCGAAGGCGGUCACCUGGGCCGUCCCUGACGCUGAGACGCGAAAGCUGGGGGAGCGAACGGGAUUAGAAACCCCAGUAGUCC
rnacentral:rRNA from 1 species